GACGAACGCUGGCGGCGUGCUUAACACAUGCAAGUCGAACGGAAAGGCCCUGCUUUUGUGGGGUGCUCGAGUGGCGAACGGGUGAGUAACACGUGAGUAACCUGCCCUUGACUUUGGGAUAACUUCAGGAAACUGGGGCUAAUACCGGAUAGGAGCUCCUGCUGCAUGGUGGGGGUUGGAAAGUUUCGGCGGUUGGGGAUGGACUCGCGGCUUAUCAGCUUGUUGGGGGGGUAGGGGCUUACCAAGGCUUUGACGGGUAGCCGGCCUGAGAGGGUGAACGGCCACAAUGGGACUGAGAUACGGACCAGUCUCCUACGGGAGGCAGCAGUGGGGAAUAUUGCACAAUGGGCGGAAGCCUGAUGCAGAAACGCCGCGUGCGGGAUGACGGCCUUCGGGUUGUAAACCGCUUUCGCCUGUGACGAAGCGUGAGUGACGGUAAUGGGUAAAGAAGCAACGGCUAACUACGUG
rnacentral:rRNA from 1 species